UAUUCCCCGCCCUAUAAAUGUUCAAUGUUUGUUAAUGUUGGUGUUUAGUCCCUAUUGUAGAUUUUUGUGUUAUGGUGUAACAAUGAAAGUCUGACUAUUUUGCCUGUUUUCAAAAUUAAGUAGAGACUGUUAUCUCUA